GAAAAGGCAUGACAGAAAACACUUCCUCAGUCUAAGAGAGUUCUGUCUGUCUGGGAUCAAGCCACCCUUUCGAUAUAAGAUGGAAAAGCUCCUUUCAGAAGUGCUCUUUCCAUCCCCCUUCUCUGCAGAAGAAAAGAGUAAGAGCUACACUAUAGCUGCCUUUGAGUGGGCAUACCCAGCUAUGAAGAAACUGUGGGUGAGGGAGAGCACCAGGCAGAAGUGGAUGAUCUGCAAAAACAAAAGGCAGCAAUGGAAAACAUCAAAAUCCUGAGUGUGCUGGAAGUGAUGGAAGACCAAAAUCUGCACUGGCAGCUGUGCAUUUUGAUUAUUGUGAUCAUAACUCUGCAAUUCUCUGGCACUAAUGCAGCUGGGUAUCUUCCCCUCUCCACACACUAAAACAACUCUUAGGUGUCCAUAAGAAAAUUCUGUAGUUUAAGCUUGCGGACACUAUAAAAGAAGUAGUAUCUGGGUGGGAGUCAAGCAGUCACGAGAUUUACUCCUGGUCAUUGACUGGCUGCUGAUUUGGCUUUGGAUGUUUUUGCCCAUCCAUCUACCACUCUUUAUUUGGAAAACUGGCAUUCACUAUCUAUCUACCUGACAGAAAGAGAGAUCUUCACUGAGCUGGCAAAGUGCUAUAUAAAUGCAUCAUGUUAUUUAAGAAAAGUUUUGAAUUAUGGACAUUUAUUCUGCAAUAACUCUGGGUGCAGACUGAACAUUUGAAUUAUGGACAUUUAUUCUGCAAUAACUCUGGGUGCAGACUGGCUUGUACAUGUUAACCUGCCCACAACAGCUCCUGUGCCCGCACACCUCAUUGAUUCCAAAAACACUAACAAGGUGCUGCCUGUAUCCAGGAUGAAAUCUUAUGCUUCUUUUUGCCACCAUGCUCUCUUCCCCCAUUCCUUCUGUGGUAGUGCUUCUAUACAGCUUGCAGCUUCCCUAACAAUGUUGUAAAGGGGAAUUUCUAAUGCCUGAGUCACCUGUUAGUUUGAAAAUAAGAACAGCAUGAGACCAAACAGAACACAAAUAUAACAUUUAUCUUCUUCCAUGCUGUUCUUUUCCCAGUUUGCAUAGAUUUUACAAUGUGGUGCAAUGGCAAGUGGUAGUACUUCUGAACUGCGCUGAAGAGACAUUAAAGCCAUGGAGUAGCUAACUAGAUAUAUGGAAAAAUACAUGUUAGGAUCAGUGUACCAGAUCAAUAGUGUAUUCUGCCAUGGCAACUUCCAUUUGUCAGUUCCUUCUCUCUGAUUUUACUCUCCUCUUUCUCUCUUUCAUAUCUUCUUUUCAGGAGUCCCAACCUUUCUGCAUAUACAGAAGAGAGAAUUUUCUGUUGUAAUCUUGGUCAGCGUCACUUUGUCUUUGCUGGUCCUUUUGCAGGAAACAGUCUCAGCAGAAGCACAGCUGGAACAUCGCAGAGAGACUGUUCAUCCCUGUCACACAGCACCAUGUCAGGUUUAAAAGCAUGAGCUUUGGAUCCCUCUGUUGCUCUCUUACAAAGUCCAACUAUGUUCACUGAUAUAGCUCCAGUGUCUCCUGCAAGAAGUCAAUCCUUCAUGGGUAGUCUUGCUGGGCAUCUUCACUACUUCGUGGCUUAAGGAGCCUUUCCAUCUCAAGCAUUCAUCCUCCCAGGCUGCAAAAAUGCAAUGUACCAACCCUCAAGAGGCCUGUUCUCCCAAAUGCUCAUGAUUGCUGCAUCUCUUGCAGUUACUGAUAAACCAGGCAGUAUAUGAUUAACCUGCCAAUAUCGAUGUUUGUGUGUUGCUUUAACCCCAUGCCAAGGCCUCUCUUUCUCAUACUUCUGCAAGCAACAUCUCAAAUUAUUUUGACUACUGACCCUGCCUAUCUUUUACUCAAAAGAGAUAAAACAAGUAAGCUAGGCUUUUUUCUUUUAGCUUUUUCGUCUUUGUACUACUGCUUCAGUGUCAUUGCUG